AGAGGAGUUCCAAGUAUGAGAAA
rnacentral:miRNA from 1 species